AACGCUAGCUACAGGCUUAACACAUGCAAGUCGAGGGGCAGCAUCAUCAAAGCUUGCUUUGAUGGAUGGCGACCGGCGCACGGGUGAGUAACGCGUAUCCAACCUGCCCACCACUUGGGGAUAACCUUGCGAAAGUAAGACUAAUACCCAAUGAUAUCUCUAGAAGACAUCUGAAAGAGAUUAAAGAUUUAUCGGUGAUGGAUGGGGGUGCGUCUGAUUAGCUUGUUGCGGGGUAACGGCCCACCAAGGCAACGAUCAGUAGGGGUUCUGAGAGGAAGGUCCCCCACAUUGGAACUGAGACACGGUCCAAACUCCUACGGGAGGCAGCAGUGAGGAAUAUUGGUCAAUGGACGAGAGUCUGAACCAGCCAAGUAGCGUGCAGGAAGACGGCCCUAUGGGUUGUAAACUGCUUUUAUAAGGGAAUAAAGUGAGUCUCGUGAGACUUUUUGCAUGUACCUAAUGAAUAAGGACCGGCUAAUUCCGUGCCAGCAGCCGCGGUAAUACGGAAGGUCCGGGCGUUAUCCGGAUUUAUUGGGUUUAAAGGGAGCGUAGGCCGGAGAUUAAGCGUGUUGUGAAAUGUAGACGCUCAACGUCUGCACUGCAGCGCGAACUGGUUUCCUUGAGUACGCACAAAGUGGGCGGAAUUCGUGGUGUAGCGGUGAAAUGCUUAGAUAUCACGAAGAACUCCGAUUG
rnacentral:rRNA from 1 species